CGUGCGUCCGGCCGCAUGCGUUGCCGACUCGACAGGGUACCUAUGGAAUUUGUUUACUCGUGCGGUGCAGUAAAAUUAAGUCGUGCGGCGAAGGAUAAUAAUUCAUUAAGUUUGUUAAGUGUUGAUCGACGCAAGUGAGGCAAUGAGUUGUGUGAUGCACCAUCGACUGGUAACCGUGGCUAUGGUUCUGGUUUGUCACAUUUCACGAAUUCGACAACAACUGUAGGCUCCCGUAAAAAUACUGCCUAGUGUGCUAGUUGUGACAAUAUUAAACUGUUAUCCAGGUCGAAUUACUGCAGCAAACAAAUACCACCCGUCGGAGAAUUUAAUUCCGCAUCUUUAGGCGCUACGCUGAAGUUUGUGUGACGCCCCCGACCGACACUAAUAAUUUUUAAAAAUUAACGCGUGGGCGCAAAAAGCAGAUAAAAUAUCUUUUUUUUUUUCAAUAACUCACU